UACGUAGGGUGCGAGCGUUAAUCGGAAUUACUGGGCGUAAAGCGUGCGUAGACGGUUAUUUAAGUCGGAUGUGAAAGCCCCGGGCUCAACCUGGGAAUUGCAUUCGAGACUGAAUAGCUAGGGUACGGUAGAGGGAAGCGGAAUUUCCGGUGUAGCGGUGAAAUGCGUAGAUAUCGGAAGGAACAUCAGUGGCGAAAGCGGCUUCCUGGACCAGUACCGACGUUCAGGCACGAAAGCGUGGGGAGCAAACAGG
rnacentral:rRNA from 1 species